CUGAGUACAGCGGCGGACGGGUGAGUAACGCGUAGGAAUCUACCCAGUAGUGGGGGACAACUUAGGGAAACUUAAGCUAAUACCGCAUACGCCCUAAGGGGGAAAGCGGGGGAUCUUCGGACCUCGCGCUAUUGGAAGAGCUUGCGUUAGAUUAGCUAGUUGGUGGGGUAAAGGCUCACCAAGGCGACGAUCUAUAGCUGGUCUGAGAGGAUGAUCAGCCACACUGGGACUGAGACACGGCCCAGACUCC
rnacentral:rRNA from 1 species